CGGUCUCAGUUCGGAUUGAAGGCUGAAAUUCGCCUUCAUGAAGCUGGAAUUGCUAGUAAUGGCAGGUCAGCAUACUGCCGUGAAUACGUUCCCGGGCCUUGUACACACCGCCCGUCACACCAUGGGAGUUGGAAAUACCCGAAGUCCGUAGUCUAACCGCAAGGGGACGCGGCCGAAGGUGGGUUCGAUAAUUGGGGUGAAGUCGUAACAAGGUAGC
rnacentral:rRNA from 1 species